AUAUUCCAACUUUAUUCACCUUUUCUGAGGAGUCACAACAUUAAUCUACUGAGGAUAACCUAGUUAGUAUAUUUGAAAUUCCAUUUAUUUUUUCUAUCGAUAUGCAUGUAUUACACUUGAAUAUAAUACAGAAUUUCCAGUGUUGUUUUAAAGGACAUAGUUUAAAAAACGAGAGGCAUGAUCUAUAAUUUCAAACCUAGGACAAAUUCAUAAUUUCCAAAAUAAUGUAAUUUUCCACUUUGUUCCAAAGAAAUUAAUGAUAUUUAUCACUAAUGCAGAAACUCCAGCACAACUGUUCUUCCUUUCUUUAUGAGUUCAGGCUGUCUUGAACCAUUGCAAAAUUCACUCAGAGCCAUCUAACUUUAUGCAUACUUAAAAUGGAAGGAGAAAAUCACUUCAUUCUGUGGACUGUGGGGCAGUAUAUUUUAGUUCAAUGUUAAUGGCAUACUUUACAAAUUUAAUUUUUUUAAACAAAUUUUACACUUUGAGUCAUUCUCUUAAAAAAAAUAUUCUGGGUAAUGCAUUGAUUUUUGAAAGUUGUCACCAACUUACCCUGGAGAGCUUUGGUCUGUCUGACAGCCUCCAUCAUAGAAAGCAACAUAUAUCUAAUUGGCCAUGUCAGUGAGUUUUAAAAAUACAAAAGAUGUCCACACCUUCUCUAACAUAAUGGAACUUCUAAUAGGGCAAUUCCUGAAGUAUCUUCCUAUUAGUCUAAGAUGAGUGAAACACAGAAGCCUCUUCCUUUACAUUCCUUCAAACUGUACAUUUACACAAUAUUAUGAUAGGAUAGCUAUGCAAUUUCCAUUCUUCUCUCCCUCCACAUGGCAAAUGAAACAAAACAAAGACAGUAUAAAAUUAUACAUUCUGUGAAUAACUUAGAAAAAAGGUACAUACUUGUUUAAGGCCUUUAAAUGUUUAUACGAUUUUCCUGUACAACUGAAAACCACAAAUGUUAAAAGGGCUACAAAAAAAGUGGACAAAAAGUAACCUAAGUAAUUGAAGGGGACAACUACAAGCAAAUAUUUAUAAAUGUGAGACCAAGGAAAAGAACAAUUUACUAUACCAACAGACCGAACAAACAAAUCAAACAAAUAGGUAGGCAUUCAAACAGUCAUUGGGAUCAAGCAAGAGAUGGUCUUUUUCAAAUGAGAUAGAAAGGAUGGUUUAAAAAAAAAAAACUUUAAGAAAUCUGAGUAACUUUCAAGCUAAGAAAUCAAAACCCACAUGCAUCCCUGGCAAUUUUUUGAAACUGAAGUUUGCCUAAAUAUUUGACUGCCCACUGCUGAUUCUGUGAAGGAAAAGAGUAAAGAUAAAAAUGAAAGAAAAUGUCCAAUUAAAAAAAAAAAUGACAGGGAGAGUACUCUAGAGGUACCAAGUAGUAGUAUAUAAUCAAAAUGGUAAUUCAGUUUCUAUCUACUACCUAUUUAGCUGACAGCUGCAGUAGUGUGUUAGCCUUGGGGAAACAUGUCAGCUUGUCUAUACAUUCUUAUAUGAUUGAUGUAUUCAGAUAACUAUUACUUGCCAACAAUAAUUAUUAUCAAUGGAUAUAUAGUUCCAUUCCUUUAACAAAAGCAACUUAAGAUGUUAAAACCUGUGGGCUUUCAGAGCUCCAAGAUUAGGAUACAAAUAAAACUGUCUCACUCCACACCAUGCCAGAGGAGAAGUUCGCAAAGGAAAUGUCACUGAAGCCAUGUGCGGUCCUUGCCCGUGAACACAGGACCUGGGAACAGGACUAUGACAGAGGCUAGUGCAUGUAGGAGAAGUUCAGAAACAAGAAAAGCACUUCUUUGGAGCCAAGAGCUCAAAAGGUUAGUGUCUCUAACACCAUCCGGAAAUGCAAACUCUUCAGACAGCAACUUCAAAUUCUUUUUGCAAGUGCAAUUAUACAAGUUGAACACAGUUCAGAUCUGAUGAAAGCUUCAUAAUGUAGAAGUUCAUGUCUGACUUUUUAAAUGUCUUGUUUCCAAGAAGUUGAUUAUGAGCCAUGAAAUCCCCUGGAAAUAACAGACUCAAGUGCUUCUUCUGGGCAAUAUAAAAAUCUUCCUUCAAGAUCACCUCAGGAGUUAUACUUCUACGCAGAUGUUCAAUGUAGUUGGCCUUGAGGAUCACUUGACUUAUCCUUGGUUAAUGGGUUACCUACAAAAGAAGAAAACAGAAUCAUUUAAAACUCUAUGCAACCGAGUAUUAAAAACAGGAAACUCCCAAUGCUAGUAUUUGCUAUAUCAAAUACAUUAUUGAAUUUCAAAGGACUGCCAUAUUCAAGUAUUUUUUAGCUUAUUAAAAUAUACCAUUUUUUUUCUCUAUCAUUUCAUAUUACUUUUAGAGCCACUUGUACAAUUAUCUAAAUGACUCCAACUAUGACCAAGAAGAUCUUAACUGGUGAUGCUACCCCUUUUCAGACCCAAAGAAUGAUGUUGGAACCCCUGUUUUUUGCACAGCCUGGGUGGAUAUAACCCAGAGAUCAUACACAUCAUGCCAGAAGUCAGUGAAGAAAGACUGUUGUUUGCAGGAAUAUAAUCAGGCCACAUCUUCAAGAAGGCCCUGGGGAAAUGGCUUCAUAAAAUCCAUUCUUGAGAUAAUUAAAAAGUUGAGUGUUUGUUUGACUCAAUUGUAUUCCAAAGGACAAAAAAUAUUUGUGGAGAAAAACAAUUAAGGGUAGUACAAUGUUAUACCAGAUUUUAAGGGUGCCCCAAGUUUCUCAUAAAUUGAUUAGAGCAGUAUUAUUAAUAGUACUAUUAAUAUUAUUGAGACAGAUUCACACUGCAUUUUCAUACCUCAAAUCCAAAGAAUGUUUGUAUAUAGGAAAAAAUAAUAGAGAACUAUAAUACCUGAUACAUAUAUAUAUUUCCAUAUGUGUGUGGAGGAAAGAUAAUUAGACACAGAGAUUUCUGCUGUAUUCAUGAACUUCUAGUUAUACUCAGAGUUGCCUAAUAGUUCUUUUCCAGCAAUGGUUAUAACAAAAAGUGAAUAUUUAAAAACUAUUGUGGAUAAUUUGGUUUUAUUUUAUUAGAUGACAUAGUUAUCCUUUCAUGAAACAUUUGCCAAAAGACAGGGUUUUUUGUUUGUUGGAUCAACCAUGAAAAAGAGAAAUAUGAAACAAGAUAAUAAAGCAGCCAUAGACUUUGCUCUUCCAUGGCUGGUCUCAAAUUAUACUACCAAAGGAAGAUGUAAGAUUCAAGCAUAUGUGUUCUGCAUGGAGGCAACCAAUUUAUAUGUGUCUCUUUGGUCAGCUCUCAUUCCCAGAGAAGGAGCCUCUGCCUGCAUAUUUGAAGCUUCUUACUCCUAUGCAACAAUGGAAGGGACUGGACUGAGGAUGGAAGGAUAUAAGCACAUGAAGGGCCCGCCAACGUCUAGAGACUCUGGGACAGGGGAUGUCUUAGACAGGACUGCGAUUUUAUUGUCUGCUAUUCAGUGGUCCUUUUACAUCAAUUCUUUGAAGGACGCCCAGCCUGGGAGUCAGUGUAAGAAGAAUAUGGGAAGGAAAUGAGAACAUUUCUAUGGACGUUUUGUCACUAACAGAGAUGCUGAUCAUUGUGGAAAAUACAGAAAUUUAAUUUUUAUGAGAAACUUACUUGACAAACACUGAUUUAACACAAUCUUUAACUUCACUGGCUGAGAAAAUGCACCUGCCCUUUCUGAAAAUUCUCUUCUUAGUAGGAAUAAUUCCAAAGUGUAAUGUGAGGACUAGUGCUUGAAAUAACAGGAAAAAACAGAGGCAGAGAACAAAUGGUUUAGCCUCAAGGAAAGACUGAGCACAGGCCACUGGAGGGUCACACUGCAAGGGCUCCACGAAAGGAGUGACAUGUCCUCUUGAGCCAUUGCAAGCCCAGGUUCUACACAAUCUAUUGGGUAUGGCGGAUGCAUUCUUACAUCUUCACUCCAAGGUCAGUAAGGAUUUCUCCACUUCUCCUGCUGCUUUAUAUAAAGCUGCUUCAUAUAUAGCUGAUUUUCUCAGCUAUGUAAAGCUUUAAUUUCACAUAAUUUUAACAACAGAUAUUAAAUUGACAGUAAAUACCAAAGGCUUUCAAACCUAGUAUACAUUUUUUCUUCCAACUUGAUAGAGAAAACAUAAGUAUACACAUAAACACAUACCACUAUAUACAAUCCAUAUCCUCAAGAAUAUCAUAAAUGUACAUUUUUAUUAUGCUGUGUUUCUGUCACCUAAAAUAAUUGCUAGAAAACCAAACUUUAAACAUGACUAAAAGAAGUGACUAAAUAAGCAUGAAUUGAAACAUAAUUAAAGCUUUUCCUUAUUUUCCAAUUUUAUGCAAUAUUACCUCGUUUCCUAUUGAUUAAUUCUAAAAAAUAUCCACAUUUUAUAAGAUGAGGAGUAAUGGACAAUUUGUUUUAGGUUUUACUUUUGUAAAUUAUUUGAUUUUGACAAGAGGGCUGUUGUAGUGUGGCAUAUAGAAUUCCGGAUUUAGGUCACUGUAGCAAUAAUACUAAUGACACUGGCUGUGUCAUCCAACCUCUGGCUCCUCCACUUUCCCAUGUGUAAAAUGGGGAUAAUCCUGUUAGCCUUACAGUGUUGCUGUUAGUACUGAAUAUUGUAUUUAUGAAAACCUAGCUUUGCUAACUCAGAAGUACUAUAAAAAUAAAAGUUUUAGAAUGGGGAUCAGUUUUUUUUUUAAUGCAUAAAUCUUUAACAAGAACCACUAAAAGUAGAAUAAGAGGAUCCCACUAACAGGGAUUCAGUAGAGAACUAUAUUAAGGAAUUCGACAAAGGCUAAGUCAUAACUGGCUCUUUUCAAUGUCGUAUAAACAUGAACAUACAUCAGCACCAUCCUUGACAACUUUCAAAUUAGUACCAAAUGACAUGGCAAAGCCAAAGACUUA
ensembl:lncRNA